rnacentral:rRNA from 1 species
CACGUACUAUCAGAGUUUGAUCCUGGCUCAGGAUGAACGCUAGCUACAGGCUUAACACAUGCAAGUCGAGGGGCAGCAUGAAUAUUGGCUUGCCAAUAUUUGAUGGCGACCGGCGCACGGGUGAGUAACACGUAUCCAACCUUCCGGUUACUCGGGGAUAGGCUUUCGAAAGAAAGAUUAAUACCCGAUGUUGCGUAUCUUUCUCCUGAAAGAUACGCCAAAGGAUUCCGGUAACCGAUGGGGAUGCGUUCCAUUAGGCAGUUGGCGGGGUAACGGCCCACCAAGGCAUCGAUGGAUAGGGGAGCUGAGAGGCUUAUCCCCCACAUUGGGACUGAGACACGGCCCAA